rnacentral:lncRNA from 1 species
UUCUGAUCAUUAUUUUUUUUAUGAAAUUUUUUGAUUAGCAAAAAAAAUCUUCCUAGCAACUGUAGUACCCCUUCUGAGGGCAUAUUUUGAUGUUGGUAUCCUUACUGCUCCCCUCCCCUAUUUGUUUGUAUGUCUGUUCCUGGGUUGUCCUCAUAUCAGAUUUGCUUUGUUCUUAAUCUCAUAGCUGCUAGUUAAUAUCUGAUUUCUGGAAAAUUAUUUAAGAAAGACUUUUUUUUUUUUGUAUUAAUAAAAUUAGUAUACGUACAUAUAAUUUUUUUAUUAUUUUAAUUUUAUAAUUUUUACAUGUUUGUCCUAAAUUUAGAGUGUUGUAAUUUUGGCAUUAUUUUAAAGUUUGCAUGCAUGUAAGUAGACUUG